rnacentral:miRNA from 1 species
AGUCAGCCUCAACUUCGAAGUUUUGAAGCCAGGCAUUGACUUCUUUCUAGCUAUGAGAGUCCUAGAUGGCAUCUUCUUCCAAUACAAAGCUGUCUCGUCUACACUGAGAAGCUGUU